GCUUCUAGAGAUCACAUACGUCAGUAUGCCAGCAGGCAGCUCAGAGUGAGGUAUUCUGUAUCAGGCUCAUAUCAUCUUUUUCUUUAUGAGAUUUGCCGCUUACUCAGCCCCAACAGAGGAUUUGCUUAUUUGCUGUUCUUUUUGGCUCCCAAGGAAAACAUUAUAAGGUGCCCUAGAAGAAAUGAAACCAACCCCUCCAUCUUCCCCUUUCUUUGACAGACUGGACCUGCUGUCUCCUGGUACAUACGUCUUUUUGAAAGUUCCUAAAAGAAGAACUCUAAGCUCCUGAAAUGCUCACAGAUGGACUAACUAGCAUUUCACAAUCCUGGGCUCCAGAAGUGACAGGAACCACACCCAGGUGACUAUGGGAACCUCAAGCCAUACGGCUCUUCUGGUGAAGAUGGGAAAUGAAACCCAGAUUAUUCACAGCCACCUGCAGAUUCACAAACGUUGGAGACACCCACAUGCAGAAACCAGCCACCUUGUUUCUGUCAUGUGCUCAUACUCCCUAGGGAGCUUAAAAAAAAUCCUUUCUCUUAGGCAGCCAUCUGCUAAGUCAUUACUUUGCCUCAUCAAUAGGUCUCUCUGGAUUAUUAGGGUUUUUAUUCUCAUGCUUGGCCAUAUUGGCAAAAUUAGGAAUAAAUCAUUUUCCCCAUCUCA